AUGAAGCAACAAAAAGGAAGGGGAUCCCCCGAAAGGCCAGGAAAUAGAAGAUUCGAGAAAAGGAACAGCGAUGAGCGCCGCGCGGACUGGAGGAGGAUGCACGGCGAGUCGAGUAGGGCUCGGGGCCUGGCGGAGAGCGGGGCGGGUUUCCGGCGGCGGGAGGAGGGUUUCUUGGGGGAGGGAGGGAGGGGGAAUGGGCGGUGGGUUUGGGGCAUUGAAGACUUCGAUUUGGGGAGGGAGAAGAGGAGAUGGAAAAUGAGGGAGAAUUUUUGGAGAAAAGGAGUGACUUCACUGCCCGCGUCGCCUCCCUCCCUCUGCUGA
rnacentral:rRNA from 1 species